GAUCCUGGCUCAGGAUGAACGCUGGCGGCGUGCCUAAUACAUGCAAGUCGAACGCGAGCACUUGUGCUCGAGUGGCGAACGGGUGAGUAAUACAUAAGUAACCUGCCCUAGACAGGGGGAUAACUAUUGGAAACGAUAGCUAAGACCGCAUAUGUACGGACACUGCAUGGUGACCGUAAUUAAAAGUGCCUACAAAGCACUGGUAGAGGAUGGACUUAUGGCGCAUUAGCUUGGG
rnacentral:rRNA from 1 species